rnacentral:rRNA from 1 species
CCUACGGGUGGCAGCAGUGGGGAAUAUUGCACAAUGGGGGGAACCCUGAUGCAGCGACGCCGCGUGGGUGAAGGAGUAUUUCGGUAUGUAAAGCCCUAUCAGCAGGGAAGAACAAUGACGGUACCUGACAAAGAAGCACCGGCUAAAUACGUGCCCGCAGCCGCGGUAAUACGUAUGGUGCCAGCGUUAUCCGGAUUUACUGGGGGUAACGGGAGCGCAGGCGGUGCGUUAAGGCCGGUGUGAAAGCCCGGGGCCCAACCGCGGGACUGCAUUGGGAACUGGCGAGCUGGAGUGCCGGAGGGGUAGGCGGAAUUCCUAGUGUAGCGGUGAAAUGCGUAGAUAUUAGGAGGAACACCAGUGGCGAAGGCGGCCUACUGGACGGUGACUGACGCUGAGGCUCGAAAGCGUGGGGAGCAAACAGGAUUAGAUACCCGUGUAGUC